rnacentral:rRNA from 1 species
GACGAACGCUGGCGGCGUGCCUAAUACAUGCAAGUCGAACGCAUUUUCUUUCACCGUAGCUUGCUACACCGAAAGAAAAUGAGUGGCGAACGGGUGAGUAACACGUUGGUAACCUGCCCAUCAGCGGGGGAUAACACUUGGAAACAGGUGCUAAUACCGCAUAAUUCCAUUUACCGCAUGGUAGAUGGAUGAAAGGCGCUUUUGCGUCACUGAUGGAUGGACCCGCGGUGCAUUAGCUAGUUGGUGGGGUAACGGCCUACCAAGGCUGCGAUGCAUAGCCGACCUGAGAGGGUGAUCGGCCACACUGGGACUGAGACACGGCCCAGACUCCUACGGGAGGCAGCAGUAGGGAAUCUUCGGCAAUGGACGCAAGUCUGACCGAGCAACGCCGCGUGAGUGAAGAAGGGUUUCGGAUCGUAAAACUCUGUUGUUAGAGAAGAACAAGGAUGAGAGUGGAAAGUUCAUCCCUUGACGGUAUCUAACCAGAAAGCCACGGCUAACUACGUG